rnacentral:lncRNA from 10 species
CGUGACCUCAAGUGAUCUGACUUCCUCAGCCUCCCAAAGUUCUGGGAUUACAGGCGUGAGCCAACAUGCCCAGCCUCUACUUGUUUUUAACAACACAAUAUUUUACUAGUAUCGUCUUGCACAAUUUUCUUUAGAUUUAUACACCAUUUUACCAUUUUGUCUAUGUCUCAUUCAUUCUUACAUUUCAGAUCUUCCACUUGAAAUUACUCUCUUUUGCCUAAAGUAUAUAUUUUCUGAAUUUUCUUUAGCAAAGAUUG